rfam:TPA: Bos taurus chromosome 7, whole genome shotgun sequence.
UCCCUUGUGGCUCUGAGGUUAAAGCGUCUGCCUUCAAUGCGGGAGACCCAGGUUCGAUCUCUGGGUCGGGAA